GACGAACGCUGGCGGCGUGCUUAACACAUGCAAGUCGAACGGUAAGGCCCUUCGGGGUACACGAGUGGCGAACGGGUGAGUAACACGUGGGUGAUCUGCCCUGCACUUCGGGAUAAGCCUGGGAAACUGGGUCUAAUACCGGAUAGGACUCCGGACUGCAUGGUCUGGGGUGGAAAGCUUUUGCGGUGUGGGAUGGGCCCGCGGCCUAUCAGCUUGUUGGUGGGGUGAUGGCCUACCAAGGCGACGACGGGUAGCCGGCCUGAGACGGUGACCGGCCACACUGGGACUGAGAUACGGACCAGAGUCCUACGGGAGGCAGCAGGGGGGAAUAUUGCAGAAUGGGCGGAAGCCUGAUGCAGCGACGCCGCGUGAGGGAUGACGGCCUUCGGGUUGGAAACCUCUUUCAGCAUCGACGAAGCGAAAGUGACGGUAGGUGCAGAAGAAGGACCGGCCAACUACGUGCCAGCCGCCGCCGUAA
rnacentral:rRNA from 1 species